rnacentral:rRNA from 1 species
UGCUCGUGGAUCGAUGAAGACCGCAGCUAAAUGCGCGUCAGAAUGUGAACUGCAGGACACAUGAACACCGACAAGUUGAACGCAUAUUGCACACCGUACAACAGUACGAUGUACACAUUUUUGAGUGCCUAUAUUUAUCCAUUCAACUGUACGUGCGUGCGCGUCCCGCCACAGCGCUGGCGCGAGGACAGGCGCACCGCGUACGCGCAGUGACGUUUUCCCGAGCCCCCCGCGCUCGGUAAAACGUUGAAGAUAGUCAGGCGCGCCCCUCCCCGGGCGCGGCUGAUGAAUACAUCCCCUAGACCAACGCGCUUGGUUACGUUGUAUUUCAUCGGCAGGACCUCACAACACAGCAACACCCAGUAGGCCUCAAAUAAUGUGUGACUACCCCCUAAAUUUAAGCA